rnacentral:rRNA from 1 species
CCUACGGGAGGCUGCAGUGGGGAAUAUUGCACAAUGGGCGCAAGCCUGAUGCAGCCAUGCCGCGUGUGUGAAGAAGGCCUUCGGGUUGUAAAGCACUUUCAGCGGGGCGGAAGGCGGUGAGGUUAAUAACCUCAUCGAUUGACGUUACCCGCAGGAGAAGCACCGGCUAACUCCGUGCCAGCAGCCGCGGUAAUACGGAGGGUGCAAGCGUUAAUCGGAAUUACUGGGCGUAAAGCGCACGCAGGCGGUCGGUCAAGUCGGAUGUGAAAUCCCCGGGCUCAACCUGGGAACUGCAUUCGAAACUGGCAGGCUAGAGUCUUGUAGAGGGGGGUAGAAUUCCAGGUGUAGCGGUGAAAUGCGUAGAGAUCUGGAGGAAUACCGGUGGCGAAGGCGGCCCCCUGGACAAAGACUGACGCUCAGGUGCGAAAGCGUGGGGAGCAAACAGGAUUAGAUACCCCGGUAGUC